rnacentral:rRNA from 1 species
UACGUAGGGGGCUAGCGUUGUCCGGAAUCAUUGGGCGUAAAGCGCGUGUAGGCGGUCCGGUAAGUCCGCUGUGAAAGUCGGGGGCUCAACCCUCGGAUGCCGGUGGAUACUGUCGGGCUUGAGUACGGAAGAGGCGAGUGGAAUUCCUGGUGUAGCGGUGAAAUGCGCAGAUAUCAGGAGGAACACCAAUUGGCGAAGGCAGCUCGCUGGACGUUACUGACGCUGAGACGCGAAAGCGUGGGGAGCAAACAGG